rfam:Egretta garzetta contig67756, whole genome shotgun sequence.
CAGAUACAGUGAUGAUGGCAUAGUUCAGCAGAAUAGCCUGUGAGGAACAGUUUUGUCGUUUGCUCUUACCUGAUGUAUCUU